rnacentral:rRNA from 1 species
UGACAGCCCCGUACACAAAAAUGCACAUACUGUGAGCUCGAUGAGUAGGGCGGGACACGUGGUAUCCUGUCUGAAUAUGGGGGGACCAUCCUCCAAGGCUAAAUACUCCUGACUGACCGAUAGUGAACCAGUACCGUGAGGGAAAGGCGAAAAGAACCCCGGCGAGGGGAGUGAAAAAGAACCUGAAACCGUGUACGUACAAGCAGUGGGAGCCUCUUUAUGGGGUGACUGCGUACCUUUUGUAUAAUGGGUCAGCGACUUAUAUUCUGUAGCAAGGUUAACCGAAUAGGGGAGCCGAAGGGAAACCGAGUCUUAACUGGGCGUUAAGUUGCAGGGUAUAGACCCGAAACCCGGUGAUCUAGCCAUGGGCAGGUUGAAGGUUGGGUAACACUAACUGGAGGACCGAACCGACUAAUGUUGAAAAAUUAGCGGAUGACUUGUGGCUGGGGGUGAAAGGCCAAUCAAACCGGGAGAUAGCUGGUUCUCCCCGAAAGCUAUUUAGGUAGCGCCUCGUGAAUUCAUCUCCGGGGGUAGAGCACUGUUUCGGCAAGGGGGUCAUCCCGACUUACCAACCCGAUGCAAACUGCGAAUACCGGAGAAUGUUAUCACGGGAGACACACGGCGGGUGCUAACGUCCGUCGUGAAGAGGGAAACAACCCAGACCGCCAGCUAAGGUCCCAAAGUCAUGGUUAAGUGGGAAACGAUGUGGGAAGGCCCAGACAGCCAGGAUGUUGGCUUAGAAGCAGCCAUCAUUUAAAGAAAGCGUAAUAGCUCACUGGUCGAGUCGGCCUGCGCGGAAGAUGUAACGGGGCUAAACCAUGCACCGAAGCUGCGGCAGCGACACUAUGUGUUGUUGGGUA